AUCCAGUCGAUGAAUCACAAAUAGGACGAAACGUGCGUCCUGGAU
rfam:Schistosoma mattheei strain Denwood, Zambia genome assembly, scaffold: SMTD_contig0001867